rnacentral:tRNA from 1 species
AAGAAGUUAGUUUAUAAAAAACAUUAAAUUGUCAAAUUAAAAAUACAUACAACCUAUGUACCUCUUA